rnacentral:lncRNA from 1 species
CGCCAAAACCACCUCCGAAGCCCGAUCCGGAGGUCGAUGAUCCGCUUUAUCUGAUGACAUUGACCAUCCCAGAGCUUUUCUUGAGGCCUUAUCAGGUUAGAUGGGAUGCCACCGUGUUCGGGGUCGUUAAUCCAGAUUUCCCCCUCUACAUAAAGCACGAAGACCUCUCCUAAAUCGCACACGGUGGUUAAUGUCUCAGCAUAUCAGUGUUACAGUUGUGGAUUCUGUAAGUCUUUAUAUAAAAGGCUUUUAUUUACCUAAGAUAUGGCUUUCAAUUCAUAAAUAUUUAACUUUGACUUAACAUAAACAUGCAUCUCACUGAAACAUGUAUGCGAGCGGGGAAUUCUGAUAUCUAUG